rnacentral:rRNA from 1 species
CCAAGGAGUCUAACAUGUGCGCGAGUCGCUCGGUCUUGAUUAGGCCAGAGAGGCGCAAUGAAAGUAAAGUUGAUUGAGUUACGAUCCUUAUGCGGUCACUCCUCGUGGGUGACGGUAAGGCGCAGUAACAGCCCGCUAAUUUCGCCUAUUGACGAUCUGGCGGAGUUGUAGCGUACACGUUGGUACCCGAAAGAUGGUGAACUAUGCCUGGGCAAGACGAAGCCAGAGGAAACUCUGGUGGAGGUCUGUAGCGAUUCUGACGUGCAAAUCGAUCGUCAGACCUGGGUAUAGGCGCGAAAGACCAAUCGAACCAUC